UACGUAGGGACCAAGCGUUGUUCGGAUUUACUGGGCGUAAAGGGCGCGUAGGCGGCUUGACAAGUCACUUGUGAAAUCUCCGGGCUUAACUCGGAACGGCCAAGUGAAACUGUUAUGCUAGAGUGCAGAAGGGGCAAUCGGAAUUCUUGGUGUAGCGGUGAAAUGCGUAGAUAUCAAGAGGAACACCUGAGGUGAAGACGGGUUGCUGGGCUGACACUGACGCUGAGGCGCGAAAGCCAGGGGAGCAAACGGG
rnacentral:rRNA from 1 species